CCCUUAGAUGUCCUGGGCCGCACGCGUGCUACACUGAUGCAUGCAACGAGUUUAUAACCUUGGCCUGAAAGGUCUGGGUAAUCUUUUGAACGUGCAUCGUGAUAGGGAUAGAUUAUUGCAAUUGUUAAUCUUGAACGAGGAAUUCCUAGUAAACGCGAGUCAUCAGCUCGCAUUGAUUACGUCCCUGCCCUUUGUACACACCGCCCGUCGCACCUACCGAUUGAAUGGUUCGGUGAAGAUCUCGGACUUCGAUAUUUAUUCUUUAUUGAGUUUAUAUUGUGGGAAGUUAUCUAAACCUCAUCAUUUAGAGGAAGGUGAAGUCGUAACA
rnacentral:rRNA from 1 species